UACAGGGGGGGCAAGCGUUGUUCGGAUUUACUGGGCGUAAAGGGCGCGUAGGCGGUGCGGUAAGUCACUUGUGAAAUCUCCGAGCUUAACUCGGAACGGCCAAGUGAUACUGCAGUACUAGAGUGCGGAAGGGGCAAUCGGAAUUCUUGGUGUAGCGGUGAAAUGCGUAGAUAUCAAGAGGAACACCUGAGGUGAAGACGGGUUGCUGGGCCGACACUGACGCUGAUGCGCGAAAGCCAGGGGAGCAAACGGG
rnacentral:rRNA from 1 species